UCGGAUAUGGUGUAACGGCUAACAUUUGCGCCUCUCAUGUCAGUUUGCAAUGAGUAAUAUAACGCGCAAGCUCGGGGUUCGACUCCCCGUAUCCGAA